UUCGCAAUGCCCGAAAGGGUGACGAAGCGACGCCGCGUGAGCGAAGAAGGCCUUAGGGUUGUAAAGCUCUGUCGAGGGUUAUGAAAUGUAAACAGGUUAAUACCCUGUUUAUUUGGCAAAAGCCCAAAAGGAAGCCACGGCUAACUCUGUGCCAGCAGCCGCGGUAAUACAGAGGUGGCGAGCGUUGUUCGGUAUUAUUGGGCGUAAAGAGCACGUAGGUGGUUUUGUAAGUCAGGUGUGAAAGCCUUCUGUUCAAAGGAAGAACGGCAUCUGAAACUGCAGAUCUUGAGUGUAGGAGGGGAGAGUGGAACUUCUGGUGGAGCGGUGAAAUGCGUAGAUAUCAGAAGGAACGUCGGCGGCGAAAGCGACUCUCUGGCCUAUUACUGACACUGAGGUGCGAAAGUUAGGGGAGCAAACGGGAUUAGAUACCCCGGUAGUCCUAACCGUAAACGAUGGGCACUAAGUAGAGGGGUUUU
rnacentral:rRNA from 1 species